GACGAACGCUGGCGGCGUGCUUAACACAUGCAAGUCGAACGAAGAGCGACGGAAGCUUGCUUCUAUCAAUCUUAGUGGCGAACGGGUGAGUAACGCGUAAUCAACCUGCCCUUCAGAGGGGGACAACAGUUGGAAACGACUGCUAAUACCGCAUACGAUCUAAUCUCGGCAUCGAGGAUGGAUGAAAGGUGGCCUCUACAUGUAAGCUAUCACUGAAGGAGGGGAUUGCGUCUGAUUAGCUAGUUGGAGGGGUAACGGCCCACCAAGGCGAUGAUCAGUAGCCGGUCUGAGAGGAUGAACGGCCACAUUGGGACUGAGACACGGCCCAGACUCCUACGGGAGGCAGCAGUGGGGAAUCUUCCGCAAUGGACGAAAGUCUGACGGAGCAACGCCGCGUGAGUGAUGACGGCCUUCGGGUUGUAAAGCUCUGUUAAUCGGGACGAAAGGCCUUCUUGCAAAUAGUGAGAAAGGAUUGAACGGUACCCGGAAAUAGAAAGCC
rnacentral:rRNA from 1 species